rnacentral:rRNA from 1 species
AGCCUUAAGUUACACAUUUAAGGUUAAACCUGCCCAGUGUGAAAUUUAUCAACGGCCGCGGUACUUUGACCGUGCUAAGGUAGCGCAAUCAAUUGGCUUCUAAUUAAGGCCAGGUAUGAAUGGAAUCACGGAGUCCAUCUGUCUCUUAACUAAUCUAUCUAAAUUACUAUCUAGGUGAAAAAGCCUAGGAGAAGAAAAAGGACGAGAAGACCCUUAGAGUUUUACUAAAAUUAGCAUAUUUGUUGCUAAAACAGUUUAGUUGGGGCAACAUAGGAACACAUAAACCUCCUGAAAACUAAUCAACCGAUAAUUAUAAAUAUGAAUAAACUACCUUAGGGAUAACAGCAUAAUUUUAUAAAUAAGUUUGUGACCUCGAUGUUGGACUAGGAACCUAAAAGGCUAGCCGCCUUCUAGGAAAGUUCUGUUCGAACUAUGUUCUCCUUCGU